AUGGCUGAGAUUGUGAUUCUUCUAGCCAUUAAAAAGAUCGGAGUUGCCUUGGCAAAGGGAGCGGUAGACCAGGCCAGUGUGCAGUUUGCAAGGUACAGGACACAACUACUAGAGCUUCAAGGCAAUAUGGGUCGUGUUGCCAGGGAGCUUCGCAUAAUGCAUGAUGUUCUCUGCCAAAUGGACAUUCGGAACCGCAACAAUCAAGUAUAUGAGGGCUGGUUGGAGGAGGUACGGAAAGUAGCACAUGUGAUGGAGGACAUGGUGGAUGAGUACUUGUAUCUAGUUGGUCAAGAACAUGAUAUAGGUUGUUUCUUUUUCCUGAAGAAAGGGAUAAAAAAGCCAAGAUCUUUACUUUCUUUGAACCAGAUAGCUUUCAAGAUAAAAGAAAUAGAGAAAGACCUUACACACCUGUCAGAGACGAAAAACCGAUGGGUUAUCCUGAUAAAUAACGGAGAUACUAACAACUCAAAUUACAUCGUCAAGAGGGCACAAGAUCUAGCGAAUAUUUCACGCUCGCUUGAUGAUGAAGAUCUAGUGGGGAUGGAUGCCAGCGGAGAAAAACUUGAGAAGUGGUUGGAAAGUGGUGGUAUGGAACGCUUUGUGAUAGCAUUGCUUGGAAUGGGAGGGCUUGGUAAAACAACUUUAGCUGCAAAUAUCUACAAGAAAGUGAGAGAUAAAUUUCAAUGUCAUGCUUGGGUCUCCAUCUCUCAAACUUAUUCCAGAGAAGAUGUCUUGAGGAAUAUUAUCAAAGAACUUUUCAAAGAUAAAGUCAGCAUUCAAUCAAACACUGAGGUUUUGAACAUCACACGCCUUGAAGAGACAGUGAAAAAUUUUCUAGAGCAAAAAAAGUAUUUGAUCAUAUUGGAUGAUAUUUGGACUCCAGAAGCAUUUGAUGAUUUAUCUAGGGUACUUAUUGAUAAUGAUAAGGGUAGUAGAUUGAUGAUCACAACAAGGGAAGCCCAUGUUGCCGCACUUGCCUCAAAAGGGCAUAUCUUAACACUGGAAGCUUUACCAGAAGACAAGGCAUGGGAUCUCUUUUGCAAGAAAGCCUUUCCAAGCAAUGUAAAACCUAGAAACGGAGCAUGGAAGGGGCUGGGUGGGGAGUUGAUGGAACAACGGGUGUUGGGCUUCACGGGAUUAAGAUUUUUGACCCAAAUGUUAGAUAAAUGUUCCCUUGGUUACUUGGGUUGGAUAUGUGAUACAUCCCUCAUGGCACCGUCCGGCAUGCCCCUGCUUCCAAGAGAUACAAAUCAUGACUGUCCUCCGGAGUUGAAGCAUUUGUCAAAGGAAAUAGUUAACAAGUGCAAAGGCUUGCCUCUUGUUAUUGUGUUAGUUGGUAGCCUUUUGCGUGUGCGUGAGAAAACUGUGGAAGAAUGGAGAAAAAUAAAUGACCAAUUGGGUUGGGAGCUAAUUAACAAUUCGAGUUUAUUUCCAGAAGACUAUAUUUUCAAAAGGAAAGAACUUGUACGAUUAUGGAUAGCAGAAGGGUUCGUCGAGGAGAGGGGUGAAAGCACAUUAGAAGAAGUGGCAGAAGGCUAUCUAAAGGAGCUGAUUGAUAGAAACAUUCUACAACUUGUUGAGAGGAACACAUUUGGUAGGAUGAAGGAAUUCAGGAUUCACGAUAUCUUACGUGAACUCGCAAUGGACUUGUGCAAGAAGAAUAGUUUUGGUGCUGCCUAUGACAAAAAAUGUGCUGGGUCUCUUGAGAUGGAUGGGCGACGAUUGGUAUUCCACAACCUAAAGAACGAUAGUGAUCAGUUAAUUUCUCGCAUACACCAGCUUCGUACAGUUACACACUAG
rnacentral:rRNA from 1 species